GGGCGUGUGGCUCAGUUGGUAGAGCGUUCGCUUAGCAUUCCUAGUUCAUCUCUUUCUCGUCAGAGUCAGUGUCUGUGUUCCGGUUAUGCGAAAGGUCCUGGGUUCGAUUCCCAGCUCGUCCA